rnacentral:rRNA from 1 species
CCCUAGUAACUGCGAGUGAAGCGGGAAAAGCUCAAAUUUAAAAUCUGGCGGUCUUUGGCCGUCCGAGUUGUAGUCUGGAGAAGUGCUUUCCGCGCUGGACCGUGUACAAGUCUCUUGGAACAGAGCGUCAUAGAGGGUGAGAAUCCCGUCUUUGACACGGACUACCAGUGCUUUGUGAUGCGCUCUCAAAGAGUCGAGUUGUUUGGGAAUGCAGCUCAAAAUGGGUGGUGAAUUCCAUCUAAAGCUAAAUAUUGGCGAGAGACCGAUAGCGAACAAGUACCGUGAGGGAAAGAUGAAAAGCACUUUGGAAAGAGAGUUAAACAGUACGUGAAAUUGCUGAAAGGGAAACGCUUGAAGUCAGUCGCGUCGACCGGAACUCAGCCUUGCUUCGGCUUGGUGCAUUUUCCGGCUGACGGGCCAGCAUCGAUUUUGACCGUUGGAAAAGGGCUGGAGGAAUGUGGCACCUUCGGGUGUGUUAUAGCCUUCAGUCGCAUACAACGGUUGGGAUCGAGGAACGCAGCGCGCCUUAUGGCUGGGGUUCGCCCACAUUCGCGCUUAGGAUGCUGGCAUAAUGGCUUUAAACGACCCGUCUUGAAACACGGACCAAGGAGUCUAACAUACCUGCGAGUGUUUGGGUGGAAAACCCGAGCGCGUAAUGAAAGUGAAAGUUGAGACCUCUGUCGUGGAGGGCAUCGACGCCCGGACCUGACGUUCUCUGACGGAUCCGCGGUAGAGCAUGUAUGUUGGGACCCGAAAGAUGGUGAACUAUGCCUGAAUAGGGUGAAGCCAGAGGAAACUCUGGUGGAGGCUCGUAGCGAUUCUGACGUGCAAAUCGAUCGUCAAAUUUGGGUAUAGGGGCGAAAG